UUUUUUUUUUGGCAGUCUCACAAGUUCUAACCAGGGUCUACCCUGCUUGGUUUCCAAGAUCACACAGACUCUGUUGCCUUUAGGAUACUUAGUCAGAUACUAAUGAAAUACCUCUCCUUAAAACUGUUUGACCUUUUUCUUGCAAAAGUAUUCAAAGCAAAAGAGUCAAAUUCUGUUGACGCCCAAGAGCAUAUUCGACAAUGUAACACUUCAGUCAUGUUCACAUCAAUGAAAAUUGCUGUGUUUGAUCUUCCUAGAACGGGCUCAUACACUCACUCAGCUCCUGGAGUUUCCAUACACUUUGUGUUUGAAAGAAAUCACUAUACUCAAUUCAAGACCACUGACUGAUGAGGAAACACACCAAAAAAGCAAGAGCAUUUUUUCUGGAUAUCCUUCAAUCAAUAUAUUUUGGCUGCUGUAGAUAAUCAUGCCGGCCACAUGACCUUGGAGGUGUCUACAGACAAUGCUGGCUCUUCGGCUUAGAAAUGGAGAUGAGCACCAACCCCCAGAGUUGGACACGACUGGACUUAAUAUCAGGGGAAACCUUUACCUUUUUUUAAACUGCGCUGAGUCCCUUCGGGGAGAGAGGGCGGUAUAUAAAUAAAGUUUUACUUACUUACUUACACUUACCCAGGCCACAACAGUCUCACACAGAAAGAAUGGGUGAUUCGCCUGUGACUGAUCAAGCUGCAUGUAUUGUGGAUGAUCAUGUUGGUGUCCCACUGCAUUUCUGACUCUUUACAGAUGGUGUACUUCAUGCACAUAUACCAUGCCUAGAACUGUGCAUUCUUGCACAGUAUAUAAUACAAUAUGUGGUCUGGACAGCAAAGAGGAUAUGCUCCUAACACUGUUGGCACUAUAGUGUCCUAUCAAUUCUACAGUGUGUGCUUGUAUGAACAUCUCCAAUAGAUAUCUCACACUGAAGAGGGUGCAAGCUUGUUUUCUGAUGCUCUGGAGACUAGGACAUGGAGAAAUUGAUUCAAAUGACAGGAAAAGGGAUUCCACCUGAAUAUUAGGAAGAAUUUCCUGAUAGUAAGAGCUGUUCUGCAAUGGAAUACGCUGACUCGGAGUGUGGUGGAAGCUUUUUCUCUGAAAGAUUUUAAGCAAAGGUUGGAUGGUCAUUUGUUGGGCUGCUUUGAUUGUGUGUUACUGCAUGGCAGGGGGUUGGACUUGAUGGCCCUUGUGGUCUCUUCCAACUCUAUGAUUCUAUGAAAGCACACAAAGUAACCCUUAUACCUUACAAUCACUAGUACGAACUAUCAGAGGAGGUCAGGUGACCAAGGAAAUUCUGAUCCUGUGAUGCCAUCAAACCUCUCGGAAUAAGAAUGGAUUGAUUUCCCAGCGGAGGAGGAAUUCCACUUAGAACAGUGGUUCUCAACCUGCGGUUUCCAGAUGUUUUUGGCCCACAACUCCCAGAAAUCCCAGCCAGUUUACCAGCUGCUAGGAUUUCUGGGAGUUGAAGGCCAAAAACAUCUGGGGACCCCAGGUUGAGAACCACUGACUUGGAAUGAGGCAAAAUCUCCAACUCAUGAAAUUAGAUACUAUUUCCUUUGACUCCCAGAGAUAUGAUAACAAUCAGGUCUUCUCAUUUCCUAGCAUCCUAAGCACAUAGUGAAUGAGAGGGAUUGUUAAAAACAUAGAGGUAGAAAUAAGAAGGGUGUACUGUACCACAUGCUUUUAGAGGUUCAUCAGACCAGUCCCUGCAGUCCCUGUGUGAAUCGCACACCUUGACUUCCUCUAUGCACUCUCCACUCUUACACUGAAACUUGUUGGGACUCUCGCACGCCGCUUCUGUUGUGUCAGGCAAGGAAGGGAAAGCAGCUGAAGUUAGAUUAAGCACAUGAAAAUGAAGAUAGAACAUUAGCAUGCAGGACUGGUGUAAUUUAAAAGAAAUGAGAUGGGAGUUAAGCGAUGAGAUAUUUAGUGGCAACGUAUGAGAAGAGCAAUGCUUGUUAAAGCUCUAGGAUUUCCCUGCAGAAACAUCCUUGAUGGAGCAUUCUAUAAGUUCACUAUAAGGAGCAAUCAUACACUAGCUCUGGGAAAUUGACUGGAUGCUGUCCCUAACAUCCAAGUUUUUUUGAGUAAUGAUUUCUUCCACACUUUGUACUCAGGAUGAAGGUGCGGUCAUGCAUACCAUUAACACAGCCAGCUUCAUCACUGUUGUCUGGACAGUCAUGGACUUUGUUGCAUUGUUUGGCUCCAUGGAUACAAGUCCCAUCGCCACACUGGAAUUCAUCGGGGCUGCAGGUCACCAGGGCUGGAAAACAAAGGAAUAGAAAGAAGCUUUAUGAGCUGUUGUGUGUUUGGAUACGCCUAUGAGGUUAAAUAAUCACCAGGGUUGCUUUCAGGGCCUCUGGGAAGGUUGGGGGUGACCAUUUUAUUUUUCAUCCUCAAAACCAUCCCGUCUGGUGAGUUAGACUGAACAAUGGUGACUGCUGAUCUCGGGAAUUACUCAUUGAUAAUCCAGGUUUCAGAUAAAUUAUGUUUACACUUCAUAAGUCUGCUAUUUGGGGAUGACAGAUCCUGCUAAUAACACUUUCUCCUACCAUUUGGAUAUCCUUUUCCAUCCUAGUUGCCUUCCAUCUAUUUUAUUCCAAGCCCAUUUGCUUAGGAACACAUCCCAGAUGUCAGGAAAACACACUGAAGACUUCAGGUGAAGCAAAAUAUCUACUUCACAGCAAAAUUUCGAACUGUACAAUUGCUGCAGCCUCCCUGAAAACAUUGAUUUGACUGUUCCCUUCGUCACUCCCCAACCCUCGGGGAAUUGCCUCCUCACUCUAAAUGACAGAAAAUCACUGCCCUUGACUAGCUAGUGCAAUACAACACGUGUGAUCCAAGAAUCUCACAGCAAAGUCGCCCUGACAAUUUAACAAACUGUCCUCAACAGCAGAAUUAUGGCUCUACAAUAUACCCUGGAGGCAACGAGCAAGAACAUAGCAGGUACCAGAAUGCACCACUUAAUAUGGCACUAAUGUAAUUCAUCAUGCAGGACAAACACACUACAGGGACCCCAGAUCUCUGUGGUGAGCCAUGCUUCAGCAAACAGAAUGCUGGCAUAAAGCUUUAUAUAUUUGUUGCAAUUUGUAUCUCAUCAAAGCCUUUAAACAGUAUCACAUGUACAAAUGCAUAUGUGUAGAUUACAGUAUUCACUGAAAGGUAGAUGCAUGAGUGAAGCAAGGCUUCCACCUCAGCAGAUUCUAAAAAGCAAAAUUUGGAAAAGUUACUUUUUGGACUGUAGAGGCCCGGAAUCAAUAUGGCCAGCAACUAUGUUAACUGAGUAUCUCUGGGAGUUAUAUUUCAAAUAGGUAACAUUUCCCAUUUCUGCUAACAAGAUCCCUCUACAACUCCCACAUGGAGAUACAAUAAUAUACUUAUGUUACAACAUGAGAAUUUGUUUGGAAUGCCUCCCAUAUUUUUGGGAUUUCUAUUUUAUUCCCUUGUUUUAAGGAGACCAACUGUCAAUAACAACAACGACAAUUUUAAAUCAUGCUUUCCAAAGUGGCAAACUGUCAAACCACAGCCUACUUCAACUUAAACUACUACAGUCUAGUAACAUUAAUGGCACUAAACCAAUGAAAACAAUAUUUUUACUCUUCCCACCUGGGGAUCCAAGUGGUCAUGGAACCAAACUUGUUUUUUAUCUUUCCACAAAAGCCUCUCAGUGCUAAGAAAAUAUUUAGCAUGUUCACAUGAAACCAUUGAUGGGGACCGGACAUAAAAGGAUAAAAUUCUGCUUAGUACUUGCACAUGGAAACAGAGGUGUGACAGUAUCAAUUCACCAACACUAUAAAAUGGGAAUACAACAGAGAAAUUUGGAAACACAAUUCAUUAUACAGAGUAUAGUAAGCUGAGAACGUAAGAGGAUGGGACACCAUGGGGUUAUUCAACACAAAUGCCAACAAGAAAUGUGAAUACUAGAAGGAUUCAGAGGCUAGUUUGUACUCAUGUUCUGUCAUAUAGUGAAAUCCACCCAUCAAACUGCUUACAACAUCAGAUGCCAACUAGUAUAAUACAACAGAUGGACACAUUUGGAGCAAUUAAUCCAAAAUCACACUUGGGAGCUUGUAACACAAAUGGAAACUAUUAGGUUUGCAUUUGUACAGGGUUGCUUCCAAAUACUUAUACUAAUCAAUCUAAUCUCGCUCCAUCCGUUCCUCCCUGAAAUACUCCCCAUGCUGGUUUUCCACAGACCUGUAAGUGCUUCAUGUCAUUAAAGCAGAGAUGGAAAUCAUGUAUCCUCAACAUGUGGUUGGACAGGACUCCCAUAACCUCUCACUAUGGGUCAAGCCGGCUAGAGCUGCUGGGAGUUGCAGUCUGACAAAGACUUGGAGAGCUGUAUGAUUCUCAUUCCCUAUUUUAUAAGUAUUUAUAUGAAUACUCAAGUCAGAAAUAUUUGCCUUAUCUUGAAUGUUUCUAGCUCAAUACUACCUGUUUAGAUCAGCAGUCUUUUUCUGGUGUCCUAAGCAAAUUAUAUCUGCUUACUUUUGGGACAUAAGUUGUGAUUGCCUAAGCACAAGACAUUACCGGUGAUUGAAAAUAUAUUACCUGUAUAUCAAUAUCAAGAAAAAUCAACUGCUAUAAAUGACUUUUCUUAAUAAAACCUUUUAUUUCUUUUUC